UCUACGGGAGGCAGCAGUGGGGAAUAUUGCGCAAUGGGCGAAAGCCUGACGCAGCGACGCCGCGUGAGUGAUGAAGUCUUUCGAGACGUAAAGCUCUGUCAGCAGGAACGAUAAUGACGGUACCUGCAGAGGAAGCUCCGGCAAACUACGUGCCAGCAGCCGCGGUAAAACGUAGGGAGCUAGCGUUAUCCGGAUUUACUGGGCGUAAAGCGCAUGUAGGUGGUUAUAUAAGUCAGGUGUUAAAUUUUUCGGCUUAACCGAAAUCCGCACUUGAUACUGUAUUAACUAGAGAAUUGGAGAGGGAAGCGGAACUCACAGUGUAGCGGUGAAAUGCGUAGAUAUUGUGAGGAACACCAGUGGCGAAGGCGGCUUCCUGGACAAUUUCUGACACUGAGAUGCGAAAGCGUGGGGAGCAAACG
rnacentral:rRNA from 1 species